rnacentral:lncRNA from 1 species
CCAACACCCCUACCCCAAACAACAACAAGCAUAUUAGAAGCUUCCAUGCAGUGUUAUCCUUUCAGAACUGCUUUCAGGCAGGAAGCUGUGUAUCCCCCUAGCCAAGUGUAAAAUUUUACCUCCUGCACCACUUGUUGGCAAUCAAACUCUUCUUGUCUGAAGACAAAAUUGUUACGAUGUCUCCAUAUAUAACUACCAUCAUCACAUCAGUUGCAGUCUUUCCUGAACAAGCACCCCUCUGUUGUAAAUAAUGCAUAGAGAAAGAGUCUAGAAGAACACAACAUUCAUUGAACCAACUUAAGCAGCAACUCCACACUUCAUAGCUG